UUGAACGCUGGCGGCAUGCUUUACACAUGCACGUCGAACGGCAGCGCGGGCUUCGGCCUGGCGGCGAGUGGCGAACGGGUGAGUAAUGCAUCGGAACGUGCCCAGUAGUGGGGGAUAGCCCGGCGAAAGCCGGAUUAAUACCGCAUACGACCUGAGGGUGAAAGCGGGGGACCGAAAGGCCUCGCGCUAUUGGAGCGGCCGAUGUCGGAUUAGCUAGUUGGUGGGGUAAAGGCUUACCAAGGCGACGAUCCGUAGCUGGUCUGAGAAGACGACCAGCCACACUGGGACUGAGACACGGCCCAGACUCCUACGGGAGGCAGCAGUGGGGAAUUUUGGACAAUGGGGGCAACCCUGAUCCAGCCAUGCCGCGUGCGGGAAGAAGGCCUUCGGGUUGUAAACCGCUUUUGUUCGGGAAGAAAUCCUCUGGGCUAAUACCCCGGGGGGAUGACGGUACCGGAAGAAUAAGCACCGGCUAACUACGUG
rnacentral:rRNA from 1 species